AGGACAUUCUAGAACUUUUGAGGCCAUUCUAGAACUGAGCCGCACUCUUUGGUACUUUGUGCCUUUCCCCUGUGUCACCGCCCUCUGGCUGCUUAAGACAGGUGAGGGUGGGCAGGGGCUGAGCCCCCUCCAAUUGCCUCGUGCCACACUGGACGUGCUCUCUUCACCCUCACUGCUGAGCUAAGACAAAGGUGUCGCCUGGGCUUGCAGAGCAAACAGAUCCAUUCAGGAAGUUUGUGGCUCCUGAGACAUGGACAGGAGUUGGGGGGCCUGCUCUGAGUGGAUGGAAGUAGGAGCAGUCAGUGGGCACAGUCACCCUGUCGUCCUGUGAAUCUUGAGUUCAUCCCAGCAACACCGUUGGGACCAGGUUAAAUGUUCCAAGUUCAGUUUCUGAUGUAAUCACCAUGACAGCCCUCCCAGGAAGGUGUCACUGUUCCCACGUCACAGCUGAAAGAGCCGAGGCUGAAGGGAUGUGAUGACUUCCCAGGGGCUCCGUGGCAGGCCACAGCAGAGAGCUGGAUCGGAAGUGGAGCAGCCGGGACUCAGACCGGCACCCAUAAGGGAUGCCAGCACUGGAGGUGGCAGCUUUGCCCACUACGCCACAGCACUGGCCCCUCCUUUCUACUUUCUGCCUUGGAUUAAAGCAGCCUUGAGCCAAGAACCCUAUCUGAACUAUGUUCUUGGAAUUCCCAGCAUCCAGAACCAUGAGCCAACUAUACCUAUAGUCUGUGUGCCCAGUGUGAAGGUUGGAUAGGACAUGACUCCUGAACUCAUGUUAGACAGUUCAGUCUCAGAGUCAUGGACUGAUGGUGGCAAGAGGAUGGAGGCUUGAUCCAAGUAUGGUGUCUGGGAGGUGGGCCUUGUGGGAGGUCCUUAGGUCACUAGAGGCUGCCUUUGGAAGGUAGAUACUGUGAAAGGGCUGUUGAUGAAAGCUGAAUUUGGGCUUCUCUCUCUCUCUCUCUCUCUCUCUCUCUCUGUCUCUGAUUUCACACACUCUGUCAUUGCCAUCUUGUGGCCUCAUCAGCUGGAUAGACCAACGGGGAUCUACCUACUCAUGGACUGUGAACUUCAAAAAUCAUGAACCAAAAAAGCCUCUCCUUUGUAAAUGGCUAGCCUUAGGUGCGCCAUUGUUGUAACAAAAAACUAAUACACCCAGUCUUGGGUCUUCUGUUAUGGUAGCAAAGUGGCUCAAGAUGAUAGCUAACAAAGGUACUGUUUAAUGUACAUGUAAUAAAGGUAAAUCAAGGAUGAUUGGCCAGGGCUGAGGGAAACAGGUGCAGUCGGAAGUAUUGAUCACUGCCCAUUUUCUGUUCCUGGACCUGUUCUCAGAUCCAAACCCUAGUAACUGUGGAACAGCUGCGUCCCUCUGAGACAGGACACUGCUUCUCUGGAGUGACCUUGCUCCAUGGGAAUUACCCCAGACCUGUCCCAAGGUGCCCUCAUGGUCAUUUCAUUCGGUAAUCGUGUGCUGGGAACUAUACUCAGAUCUUCAAAGAUCUGAAAAAAGUUUCAGACUUUUCACAGGCUCUGAACUGACAUUAAAACCCAGGGACCCCAUAAUGGGGACAUUGAAGUCUGUGUCAUCCGUGGAGUCCUGGCCUGGAUCUGCUCACAGUGGGUCCACUGGGUCCGUGGAUCCAUCUGGUGGUCAUUUCCCAGGCCCAGAGUGUAAUUGGAGUGGAGCUGCUUGGUGGCUGGCAGAACCCUCACAGUAGACCCUUGAGCUGUCAGGUAACCACUGUGGUAGUGAGAAAGACCAAGUGGAAGGCUCAGAACCCACCCUCCUCCCAGGCCAAGAUGGUGCAUUAAACAGUGAUACUGCAUCCUGGGAAGACUGGCAGAGACUGCUACUUUCAGAAACCUACAGUGUGCCAUACCCCUAUUUGAUCCCCCAGGCAGACACCAGCAACACCAUGUUGGAUUCUGAUGGGCAACCACCUACCUAACCCAUACAAAACUCUGACCUGGUCACCAGCCUAGUGAAACUGGUCUGACCCAACUGGAUGACAAAUCCUGACCCAGGCGCAUUGCAAAGCAGCCUGAUAUCCUCAUCCCAAGGCAGGGACCCCAGGCACUCAGCAGAGGCACCUGAAUGACAUAGCCCUGAAACCCACGUCACGUGAGUGCCGCAGAUCACUUCCAAUGCUUACACAGCAGGAAAACUCAAAUGUCGGCAGUCAGUCAACACACUCGGGAAACGUCUGCUGGCUUUGUUUCUUCCCUGCUUAUCUUUUCUUGCACCUUAUCCCCAAGAGCUCCCCUAGACUUUGCUGGAUCAGGUUGCUUGUUUGACAAACCAACAGCCAUUAAACUUGGGUCUCAACUAGACUUUUACUUUAUUUUGACACCAAGUAUAGCGCUGUUGCAGCUGCUGGGCCAGAUGGGCUGUCCUUGUGUGAGAGAAUGAUCUGUUAACACCACUCUGGCAGCCAUGCUCUGCCAUCAUGGAGCCAGAGUGAAUUCCCUGGGAACACAGUCACGGGCACGCCCCAGGCCUCUCACCCUGUGUUGCAGCACAGUCCAAAGAGACCGAGGCCUUCUUGAGAGCAUCACGUUGGUUCACUGUAUUGAAAACUGUGUUGUAGUUUAGUUGGAUGAUCAAGACAUGGCACAUAGAUUGGAGGUGCUGGUAUACCACAUGUUCUCCCUAUGGUUGGAGGUAAAUCCUAUAAGGAUACAGUGGCCUUUUAUGUAAAUGACAUCUUUAGGGGUUCAGUGAUCAGAGGCAUGUUGGAAUGUGCCUUCCAAAGGGUAAUUCCUGCCUCUUGCCUCUUUCAACAGAAGCAGCACAAGCUUGGUAGGUUUCUUUGGGUUGUGGGGAUCACAUUUGUCAUAGCUGGGAUACAAGCCUGCUCCAGUUAUAGAGAGUAAGGAAGGCUGAAUGGGGUCCAGGACAUGAGAACACUUUGAAGAAGAUUCAUGUGGUAGUGCAAGCAGCCUGCUGAUUGGAUCAUUGGACCUGGUAGAUGCUGUGGAGUCAGCAGUUUAGGCAGCCAGUGACAGAGGCUGAUACAGAAUGACCAAGUUAAUCCUCCCAUGUCGUUGAUCAGUGCCUCUUUGGUGAUACGGGGAGACUGGCACAGCCAUGAGCUAAGGCACAGGGCUUGGUAGGCUGAGCUCAGGCCUCGUCCGAGAUGCUAUUUACCAUCUUGUUCAGACAGUCGUGGGAAGUACACCGCCUGCACAGCUGUAUACUGUGAAAAUAAGCAGUGCCUCUGGAAGUACCCUUCAGCCUCCAGCCGGAAUCCGUGUCCCUGCUUGAUGGCUAAGAAGACUGAGGCACGAGGGGAUUCCAAUUCAAUACCAUCAAGGUGGCAUCUGCCAAUGCCAUCUCACUAGUCAGAGUGAUCAGUUUCAGUUCACAAUUGAUCAUAAUGAUAGGAUUAAGAGUCAAAAGGAUCACAUAAACAAGACUAGUGUCUGCUAAUACUAACUGAUAGAAUUAAAAAGGAGAGAACGAUCCAACUGGGCAGCGGGAUACACAGCAGACUCAUAGAAUGGCAGAUGUCCUAAACAGCACUCUGGCCUCAGAAUCAGCCCUUAAGGCAUUUGGAUCUGGCUGAAGAGCCCAUGAGAGUAUUUUAGGCAUGGAAAGCCAAGACACUCUGGCAAAAAAAAAAAAACAAACAAACAAACAAACAAAAAAAAACACCCUAAAAGAAAGAUCUCUGCGAAUGAGAUCCCAGUGGAAAGAACGGGCCAUCAAAGAAGGAGGUACCUUUCUCUGAAGGGAGGAGAGAACUUCCACUUUGACUAUGACUCAAAAGGCUUCCAUAGCCUUGACAACUCAUGUUAAGAGCCUAGGGUGAUUAUUGACGCCAUAAACAAGAGUGUCACUUGUUAAGUCAACAACAGGAGUCACUGUGCACUUACUCCCCAUGUAGGAUCUCUGUCCUUAAUGUGUUGUACAAUAUGAAUUAAUGCUAUAACUAGUACUCAAACAGUACUUUAUACUUUGUGUUUCUGUGCGGGUGCAAACUGUUAAAAUCUUUAUUUAGUAUAUACUAAAUUGAUCUUCUGUAUAUAAAGAUAAUUGAAAGUGAAUCUUGAU